UCCAACUACCUGGACUGGAACCCCACCCGCCCAGGUGGACGGGAACCCCACCCACACGGAGGAGGUGGACCGGAACCCCACCCGCACACAGGAAGUGGACGGGAUCCACACCAGCACGCAGGAAGUGGACGGGAACCACACCCGCACGCAGGAAGUGGACGGGAAGCACUCCGCACACCCUGUCCCGCCCUCUGAGCAGCCCCUGUCCUAACGUCUGGUCACCUCCUGUCCUGACAUCCGAUCACUUCCUGUCCUGACGUCUGCUCACUACCUGUCUCGAUCGACUGCAGAAAUAAAAAAAUAUAAUAAAAGGAGAACACCUGUUUUAUAAUGUUAGGAUAUCCUAUUAAAUGGUUUUAUAAUGUUAGUGUGUGUGUAUUAAAUGGUGUGUGUGUGUGUGUGUGUGUGUGUGUGUGUGUGUGUGUGUGUGUGUGUGUGUGUGUGUGUGUGUGUGUGUGUGUGUGUGUGUGUGUGUGUGUGUGUUGUCUGUCAUGUAGGAGGAGGGUCGACCUGAGAUAUUGAUCCACUGGUCAGAUAAUUUAACUUCUAACAGCUCACUGCCAGACUCCUGGUACUACUCUCUGUAGUACCACUCUCUGUAGUACCACUCUCUGUAGUACCGCUCUCUGUAGUACUGCUCUCUGUAGUACUGCUC
ensembl:lncRNA